GGAGGAUAGGGGACAGAGGAAAUCAAAGGAUGCAGAGAGGGAGGAGAGGAGGGUUGAGGAGGCAGAAUCAGGAGAUAGGUUGGAGAAGGUUUGAGCAGAGGGAAGAGAUGAUAGGAUGGAAGAGGAGAGCGUAGCGGGAGAGAGAGAGCGAAGGUUGGGACGGCGCAAUACCAUCCGAGUAGGGGGAGAGUGAGAAGUGUUGGAUGAGAGCGAGAGGGAAAAGGAUACAAGGUAGUGGUCGGAGACUUGGAGGGGAGUUGCAAUGAGAUUAGUGGAAGAACAGCAUCUAGUAAAGAUGAGGUCAAGCGUAUUGCCUGCCUUGUGAGUAGGGGGGGAAGGUGAGAGGGUGAGGUCGAAAGAGGAGUGGAAAGAAGGAGGCAGAGAGGAAUGAGUCGAAGGUAGACGUGGGGAGGUUAAAGUCACCCAGAACUGUGAGAGGUGAGCCAUCCUCAGGAAAGGAACUUAUCAAGGCGUCAAGCUCAUUGAUGAACUCUCCAAGGGAACCUGGAGGGCGAUAAAUGAUAAGGAUGUUAAGCUUGAAAGGGCUGGUAACUGUGACAGCAUGGAAUUCAAAUGAGGAGAUAGACAGAUGGGUCAGGGGAGAAAGAGAGAAUGUCCACUUGGGAGAGAUGAGGAUUCCAGUGCCACCACCCCGCUGGCUCGAUGCUCUAGGGGUAUGCGAGAACACGUAGUCAGACGAGGAGAGAGCAGUAGGAGUAGCAGUGUUAUCUGUGGUAAUCCAUGUUUCCGUCAGCGCCAGGAAGUCUAGGGACUGGAGGGUAGCAUAGGCUGAGAUGAACUCAGCCUGCCGGAGACCUGGAACUCCACGUGGGUCGUGCGCGCUGGGACCACCAGGUUAGAGUGGCAGCGGCCACGCGGUGUGGAGCGUUUGUAUGGCCUGUGCAGAGGAGAGAGAACAGGGAUAGACAGACACAUAGUAGGCAAGCUACAGAAGAGGCUACGCUAAUGCAAAUGAGAUUGGAAUGACAAGUGGACUACACGUCUCGAAUGUUCAGGAAGUUAA
rnacentral:lncRNA from 1 species